AAUAGGACGUGAUCCGCAGGUGUCCGAAUGGGGCAACCCGGUAUACUGAAGGUAUAUCAUCCCGCAAGGGAAGCAAACCCGGAGAACUGAAACAUCUAAGUACCCGGAGGAAGAGAAAACAAUUCAGUGAUUUCCUAAGUAGUGGCGAGCGAACGGGAAAUAGCCCAAACUCAAGUGGCGUGCUGCUUGAGGGUUGUAGGACUGUAACGUGGAAUACAUAAAUAUAAUGGAAUUGCAUCUGGAAAGUUGCUCCAUAGAAGGUGAUAGUCCUGUACAUGAAAUAUUUAUGUUACCUAACAGUAUCCUGAGUACCGCGGGACCGGAGAAAUCCUGUGGGAAUCUGCCAGCACCAUCUGGUAAGGCUAAAUACUACUGAAUGACCGAUAGUGAACAAGUACCGUGAGGGAAAGGUGAAAAGAACCGCGAACAGCGGAGUGAAAUAGGACCUGAAACCAUACGUCUACAAGCGGAGGAAGCGCAAGCGACCUCGUGCCUUUUGCAUAAUGAGCCUACGAGUUAUACCUCACUGGCAAGGUUAAGUCCGCGUACGGACAGAGCCGCAGCGAAAGCGAGUCUGAAUAGGGCGAAAGUCAGUGGGGAUAGACGCGAAACCUAGUGAUCUACACAUGGCCAGGUUGAAGGUGCCGUAACAGGUACUGGAGGACCGAACUGAUUAGCGUUGAAAAGCUACCGGAUGAGUUGUGUGUAGGGGUGAAAGGCUAAUCAAACUGGGAGAUAGCUCGUACUCCCCGAAAUGUUUUUAGGAACAGCCUCGUACUUAUUGUCAUAGAGGUAGAGCUACCGAUUGGACUAGGGGGCUUCACCGCCUACCAAAUCCUGACGAACUCCGAAUGCUAUGACAUCUAUACGGGAGUGAGGCGUGGGGUGCUAAGGUCACACGCCGAGAGGGAAAUAACCCAGACCAUCAGCUAAGGUCCCUAAAAUAUGCUAAGUUGAACAAACGCAGUUUGACCGCUAUAACAGCCAGGAUGUUUGCUUGGAAGCAGCAAUUCAUUUAAAGAGUGCGUAACAGCUCACUGGUCGAGUGGUCGGGCACGGAAAAUAAUCGGGCAUAAAGCAUAUUACCGAAGCUAUGGGUUUGUCGCAAGACAAGCGGUAGGGGAGCAUUGUAGUUGCACCGAAGGUGUGUCGUAAGGCAUGCUGGAGCGGCUACAAAAGCAAAUGUAGGCAUAAGUAACGAUAAAGCAUAUGAAAAAUAUGCUCGCCGAUAGACUAAGGUUUCCUGAUCAAUGUUAAUCAGAUCAGGGUUAGUCGGGUACUAAGGCAAAGCCGAAAGGCGAUACCGAUGUAUAGCUGGUUAAUAUUCCAGCACCAGCAUUUAUUGUGAUGGAGUGACGGAGAAACGUAAGAUCCGCGACCGGACGGAUGUGGUCGUUAAAGGGCUUAGGUAUACACGCUGUAGGUAAAUCCGCAGCGGGUGCCGAAACCUGACAGUACACUGAAUCUUCGGAGGAGGUGAUAGUGAUCCCAAGUCGGCUCCCAAGAAAAACUUCUAAACUUAGAUAAAUGCUGCCCGUACCGGAAUCCGACACAGGUAGUCAAGAAGAGUAUUCUAAGGCGCUCGAGUGAACCAUGGCUAAGGAACUCGGCAAAUUAACCCUGUAACUUCGGGAAAAAGGGUGCCCGCCGCAAGGCGGGCCGCAGAGAAUUGGUCCAGGCGACUGUUUAACAAAAACACAGGGCU
rnacentral:rRNA from 1 species